UACGGAGGGUGCAAGCGUUAAUCGGAAUUACUGGGCGUAAAGCGUGCGCAGGCGGUUUGUUAAGUCUGUUGUGAAAUCCCCGAGCUCAACUUGGGAAUUGCAAUGGAUACUGGCAGGCUGGAGUAUGGUAGAGGAAGGUGGAAUUCCCGGUGUAGCAGUGAAAUGCGUAGAGAUCAGGAGGAACACCAGUGGCGAAGGCGGCGACCUGGUUCAUUACUGACGCUGAGGCGCGAAAGCGUGGGGAGCAAACAGG
rnacentral:rRNA from 1 species